CCUACGGGAGGCAGCAGUGGGGAAUAUUGGACAAUGGGCGAAAGCCUGAUCCAGCGACGCCGCGUGGGUGAAGAAGGCCUGCGGGUUGUAAAGCCCUUUCGGUGGGGAAGAAAAGCCUCGAGCUAAUACCUCGGGGUCUUGACGUAACCCAUAGAAGAAGCACCGGCUAACUCUGUGCCAGCAGCCGCGGUAAU
rnacentral:rRNA from 1 species